CUUAGGAAAAUGUAUAAAUACUAGGUGCUUUAUCAGGAAACAUUCAGUAAAGGUGUUUCAACUGCUCGCAAUGAAGUUCUUAAAUCUGGCCCUUUUGUUUGCACUACUUGCUUUUGUAGGAUUAGCGAGUGCUGGGAAAAUGCUGGGCGUCACGGAAGUGGUGGAUCCUCCUCCAAUUGAACCGAUUGAUGAUGAUGGUAACCCAGUAACGCCUUAUAAAUGAGUUUAGCGGCACUGGAUUGUCUCCGUUGGAUAAGUGUGGCAGAUAUGGGAAGAAUGCUGAUAUUAUCCGGAAGUCUGUGAAACGAACUUACUUGUGUAAUAAAUGCAGUGAUUUCAAUAAUUAGUUUAAAAAA